UAAUUUUUUAAUGGUAACAGUUAUACUAUGAAAAUUUUUAUCUGAAAUCAUUUCGAAUUGAUGAAAAACCCUGUCAUUUGGUAUAAAGAUAAACAAACUCCAAACUAUAUUUGUUUUUUAUAAAACAAAUAUGUGGGAAACCUUACAUGGACAAGUUGUCUAGCUACUGUAGCCAGCCAAGCCUGUACUGUGCCAAUAACGCACAGUUUUAGCAGGGACCUAUAUACUAACAUAGGUCCCUGGUUUUAGUAGAUGCAUCAGUAAGAUAUAGUGUUGAUUCGGUGUUUCUCUGUUUUCUUUUUAUGCAAGUAAUUUAAAAUGUGAUGUAUGUACACAACAAAAGCCAAGGUGAAAUCAAAAUGGGUUUUUUCUGCAUUUGUAUAGGUGUAAACAACGCGCGGCAUUGUGGGAAACGGGAAGGUACUAAAGACUUGAUAUGCUAAAAUCCUGAUUUGACCUGAUUAAAAAUUGUCAGUAAUAUUCCAAACAAAUGAAUUCUUGUAUAACAUAAUGCAUCAUAGUCAAAGGUCUUUAAAAUAAGACAUUUUAAGUACUCAAUAUUAUCAUUUAAUUUAAAAUAAAAACAUCGGGUAAUUUCAGGUCUUUAGUACAUCCGGGUUUCAGUGUGUCCCAUCGAAAUCGGCAAAUCGGACACUUGAUCAUGUUUACAAAGUGAAAUUGAGGAUUUUCUCACCAUACAAGCCGUUUGUAAACAUGCACGGACAUUUUAUCUGCAGCUCAAAGUACUUUAUCAAUCCUCUGGAGCAUUAUUCUAAGCAAAAUUAUCCGAUUUAUAUAUUCUUGUGUGAAUUGUUUACGAGGAAAUUCCGACUGUCACAGUAAUAAAGAAGGAUGAACACUCUUGACUCUGUUUCGGAUUCCCCAGUGAUAAUUGUAUCGAAUGAUUAAAGAGCUGACGGUUACAUUUUAAUUUAUGAUUGGCGUGGACCAUGGGAAUGAAUUCGAAGUCAUUUUAUGAUGCCACCGCUUGGGAUAGUAAGCUGCAAAUAUAGACUUGUACUCAGCACUUAUUGCCUUUGAGAAGUAAGGGAUCCUUUUCGUGCCAACACCCACACCUACUGUGACACAGAAUCUCGGUUUAUACAGUCUCUUUGGAGUUACCUGUCUCUAGCAUUUAGCAGUGUGACUGUCAUCUGAGUACUGAAAUUUGAUGCCAAGCAUGAUCAUGAUUUGCCAGAAGAGCCUCUUUUGGGAGAUGACAAAGAAUAAACAGCAGAAUGAAAUUGAAACAAUCAACUGAAUCAAGUCUCAGUUUAAGAAGAUGAUUUUAAAUAUAUCAUAUUUAAAUUUUGAUUUGAGAAACAGACAUAAAUCCAAAAAUAUGAUUAUAUCAA